CCCUUAGAUGUCCUGGGCCGCACGCGCGUUACACUGAUGCAUUCAACGAGCCUAUAACCUUGGCCGAGAGGCCUGGGCAAUCUUGUUAACGUGCAUCGUGAUAGGGAUAGAUUAUUGAAAUUAUUAAUCUUGAACGAGGAAUUCCUAGUAAACGCAGAUCAUCAAUCUGCAUUGAUUACGUCCCUGCCCUUUGUACACACCGCCCGUCGCACCUACCGAUUGGAUGGUCCGGUGAAGCCUCGGGAUUGUGGUUCUUGCCGCUUUAUUGUGGAGUGACCGCGAGAACUUGUCUAAACCUUAUCAUCUAGAGGAAGGUGAAGUCGUAACA
rnacentral:rRNA from 1 species